rnacentral:rRNA from 1 species
UCAAGAAACUUCCACAAUGGGCGAAAGCCUGAUGGAGCGACGUCGCGUGAUGGACGAAGUGCUUCGGCACGUAAACAUCUUUUAUGUGGGAUGAAAUUAUUGACAGUACCACAUGAAUAAGGGGCUCCUAACUCUGUGCCAGCAGGAGCGGUAAUACAGAGGCCCCAAGCGUUAUCCGGAUUUAUUGGGCGUAAAGAGCAUGUAGGAGGUCCGGUGCGUCUCUGGUUAAAGCCCACCGCCUAACGGUGGAAGUGCCAGAGAUACGAUCGGACUGGAGGAUGUGAGAGGUGCAUGGAACUCACGGUGUAGGGGUGAAAUCCGUUGAUAUCGUGGGGAACACCAAAGGCGAAGGCAGUGCACUGGUACAUUCCUGACGCUGAGACGCGAAAGCGUGGGGAGCAAACAGGAUUAGAUACCCUUGUAGUCCCUGAGCGGGCUGGCAAGGCGCAU